rnacentral:rRNA from 1 species
AAUCAACGCUGGCGGCGUGCCUAACACAUGCAAGUCGAACGCGAAAGUCCCGCAAGGGAUUAGUAGAGUGGCAAACGGGUGAGUAACACGUGGGUGACCUGCCUUCGAGCGGGGGAUAACGUCCCGAAAGGGACGCUAAUACCGCAUAACAUCCUGCCUUUUAAGAGGUGGUGAUCAAAGCCGGGGAUUCGCAAGAACCUGGCACUUGAAGAGGGGCCCGCGCCUGAUUAGCUAGUUGGUGGGGAAUGGCCUACCAAGGCAACGAUCAGCAUCCGGCCUGAGAGGGCGGACGGACACACUGGGACUGAGACACGGCCCAGACUCCUACGGGAGGCAGCAGUGGGGAAUUGUUCGCAAUGGGCGCAAGCCUGACGACGCAACGCCGCGUGGAGGAUGAAGACCCU